UUGACCUCGGAUCAGGUAGGAAUACCCCGCUGAACUUAAGCAUAUCA
rnacentral:rRNA from 1 species